GCACAAGCACAUCAGCUCCACAUCUUACCACAAAUCUCACAUACACACACUUGCAUGAAUAUACUAGUGCACCCCCUCAAGCUAGAACACAAACACACUUAGCAUCUAGCUCACAUGGCACAAAUGUACAACUUCUAAUCAUGAUCACCCAUCUACAUAAGCUAGCAAAAUACCAUCACACACAUGCUGUUUGUGGGAAGAAAGAAUCCCCACUUGGUGUAGACCACACCAAACAACGCACACAAGCAUACAAAAGGAAAAACA
rnacentral:lncRNA from 1 species